rnacentral:rRNA from 1 species
AUGAAGCUCCUAUGUUGGAACAUUAGGGGCUUCGGCCUCACUGGCCGGCGUCGUCAGCUCAUCGAGUAUUUGCGUCAGGAGGAGAUUGACAUUGUGGGACUGCAGGAGACAAUUCGCCAAGACUUUAGUAUGCAUGAGCUCCAGGGACUUUCCCGCCAUCAGUUUGCCUGGCAGUGGUUGCCUGCUACGGGGCAAUCUGGGGGCAUUUUGCUAGGAGUUUGGGAGGAUGCUUUCUCGGUUGAGGAUAUGGACCGAGGGGAAUUCUUCCUGAGCAUGUCCGUCACUGACCGACGAGUCCACCUUAGUUGGGAGGUGAUUUUUGUCUAUGGCCCUGCGGAUCAUGCUCGCUCUACCGACUUCCUCGCCAAGUUAAAAAUAAGGUGGAGAGGUGCACCACUCUGGUGA